rnacentral:lncRNA from 1 species
AUUAACUCACUCAUUUUAUGACACUUGCACUUACACUUUAUAAUAAUCACAUAUACUUAUCGAUAUCACUUUCACUUUGCACUUUUCACUUAUCACUUAUCACUUUUAAGUUACACUUUUAUUUUUAGUUGCAUUUUUUUUUGUUUAUAAUUUUCACUUUUACGUAUUUUAAAAUUUCAUUGUGUGAUGUCAUUUUUGUCGGAUCAUCAAGGGCACU